rnacentral:rRNA from 1 species
CCUACGGGUGGCUGCAGUGGGGAAUAUUGGACAAUGGGCGCAAGCCUGACCCAGCAACGCCGCGUGAAGGAAGACGGCUUUCGGAUUGUAAACUUCUUUUGUCAGGGAAGAGUAGAAGACGGUACCUGACAAAUAAACCACGGCUAACUACGUGCCAGCAACCGCGGUAAUACGUAGGUGGCAAGCGUUGUCCGGAUUUACUGGGUGUAAAGGGCGUGUAGCCGGGUUGACAAGGCAUAUGUGAAAUCCUGAGGCUUAACCGGAGAACUGCAUUAGAAACUAUUGAGCUUGAGUACUGGAGAGGAAGACGGAAUUCCUAGUGUAGCGGUGAAAUGCGUAGAUAUUAGGAGGAACACCAGUGGCGAAGGCGGUCUGCUGGACAGCAACUGACGGUGAGGCGCGAAAGUGUGGGGAGCAAACAGGAUUAGAUACCCGGGUAGUC